GCCAGCCGCUGGAAUCACAACAUAGAGGGGUGUGGCCGAUGAGGGUUCUGAAUCCUAGAGCUAUUUGACGCUCGAAAUCGCAGAUUCUGAGUUGUUCCGGACGCACUUGAGUUUCUCAUGGGGGUUAGAGUCUAUGAUGGCAGGGCAAAGGCCUGGUGACAGAACAGCUGACAUCUCAUGAUCUGAAAACAGAAGGCAGAGAGUGCACACUGGGAGUGGUGGGAGGUUUCUGAAGCUAAGUCUGCCGCCAUGACACAUCUCCCCCCCCCC
ensembl:lncRNA